UUUUAUGGAGAGUUUGAUCCUGGCUCAGGAUGAACGCUGGCGGCGUGCCUAAUACAUGCAAGUCGAGCGAACGGAUGAGAAGCUUGCUUCUCUGAUGUUAGCGGCGGACGGGUGAGUAACACGUGGAUAACCUACCUAUAAGACUGGGAUAACUUCGGGAAACCGGAGCUAAUACCGGAUAAUAUUUUGAACCGCAUGGUUCAAAAGUGAAAGACGGUCUUGCUGUCACUUAUAGAUGGAUCCGCGCUGCAUUAGCUAGUUGGUAAGGUAACGGCUUACCAAGGCAACGAUGCAUAGCCGACCUGAGAGGGUGAUCGGCCACACUGGAACUGAGACACGGUCCAGACUCCUACGGGAGGCAGCAGUAGGGAAUCUUCCGCAAUGGGCGAAAGCCUGACGGAGCAACGCCGCGUGAGUGAUGAAG
rnacentral:rRNA from 1 species